AUUAGAGACCUUUAAUAAUAUUUGACCGUCAUUUAAAUAAAUUUUUAAAAAAUAAGCGGGAGUUUUUUUUUUUUUGGUGAAAAGAGUUUAAGCGCUGUUUUUUUUUUGGUGUAAAGAGUUUAAGCGCUUUAUUUUCACUAACUUUCUAGAACUCGUUUCUUUCCCUCAUCAUCCACUCUCAGCUCAUCCGGUUCCCCUCUCUCUCCUCUCUGUUCCUCGUCUCUCUCAAUCUCUAUCUCAACUCACCUCCUUUUUUCUCUCUCAUCUCCAAGCAGCGACGAACGUCGUUCCUCCUGUAAGUUUUUUAAUUUUGUAAUGAAUUCACCGGUCAUUUCCUUCGGCAGUCUGCUCGUCUUCGUGCGGAUUCCGUCGCUAUUCAAGCAACUUUAUUUUAUCACCACCACGCUACUGCCUAUCACCAUCACGCCAUGUCAUCGCCAAUCGAACAUCAUUCCGGUAAUUAUUGAUUCAUCUCGAACUCUUACUUGUUUGUUAGGGUAAUUAAAUUACCAUAUUUCUUUUAUUGGAAUUCAUGUUUUUUGUAUAUAUUCAUUGUAAUUGAACUAUUUGCCAUGAUUAUUGUGCAGCAAAUGAAGCUACAAUUGGACUUAAUUUAGUCAUUGACGAUUUGGUACGUACACAAAGGCUUUGGGAUAUGAAAAACAAAGAGGUGAAAAUUUUCUAUAUGUGUGAAAUUCGCAAGGACUUCACAAUCGACGCAACUUUCAAGGGGAAUGCGUCUUGUUUCUUGAAUCAUAGUUGUGAUCCAAACUGCAAAUUGGAGAAAUGAUGCUCCUAUAAUUAUCACCGCCACUAGUGCAGCUCAGGCAGCAGCUGCUACCAUCAAGCAACAAAAAGUUGUCCUGUGAAGCUUCAUCAAUUUGGUAGAGAUGAAAAUCUUCAGAAACUUAUGGAUAUGGCUAGGAGGUCUGAUGCUAGACAGCGUAAAAGAUCUCCUUUGGAUGCUAAGAGAAUGUCGUAUGUUGGAAAUGACUACUCCUAUCCGAGGAUGGAAGGUGAAUCUAGCACUAAUGAGAGUGAAGCUUAUGAGUGAAAUUGUGAUUUGUUACUUCAGAUAGCUGUAGAAUUCUUCAGCGAUGCAGCUGAGGAACCAGUCUAGGUGCUCUAAUUUUUUUAUAAGUUAGUUGAAUUUUUGGAAUCUUCUAACGUUAUAUUGAUAUGUAUAUGAUUUUGUAGUGAAUGAUAUUGAAUGAAAGGUAUUGAAAUUAUAAAGUCA